UUUUUCGAGAGUUUGAUCCUGGCUCAGGAUGAACGCUGGCGGCGUGUCUAAGGCAUGCAAGUCGAACGCACCUUUUUAACUUCGGUUUUUGAGGUGAGUGGCAAACGGGUGAGUAACACAUUGGUAAUCUACCCCGAAGUCGUGAAUAACCCCGCGAAAGCGGGACUAAUACACGAUAAUAAUGGGGGGACAAAUGUCAUUCCCAUUUAAAGUUCCGACGCUUCGGGAAGAGCUUAUGGCCUAUCAGCUAGUUGGUGAGGUAAUAGCUUACCAAGGCAAUGACGGGUAGCGGGUGUGAGAGCACGACCCGCCUCACUGGGACUGAGACACUGCCCA
rnacentral:ncRNA from 1 species